CAGCCGCCGCGGUAAUACGAGGGGGGCAAGCGUUGUUCGGAAUUAUUGGGCGUAAAGGGCGCGUAGGCGGUUUGGCAAGUUUGGUGUGAAAUCUUCGGGCUCAACUCGAAGUCUGCACCGAAAACUGCCGGGCUUGAGUAUGGGAGAGGUGAGUGGAAUUUCCGGUGUAGCGGUGAAAUGCGUAGAUAUCGGAAGGAACACCUGUGGCGAAAGCGGCUCACUGGACCAUUACUGACGCUGAGGCGCGAAAGCUAGGGGAGCAAACAGGAUUAGAUACCCCGGUAGUCCCUGUCUCUUAUAC
rnacentral:rRNA from 1 species